rnacentral:misc_RNA from 1 species
GAUGAAGAACGUAGCGAAAGGCGAUAAGUAAUGUGAAUUGCAGAAUUCAGUGAAUCAUCGAAUCUUUGAACGCACAUUGCGCCCCCCAGUAUUCUGGCGGGCAUGCCUGUUCGAGCGUCAUUUCAACCAUCAAGCCCUGCUUGUGUUGGGGUCCUGCGGCUGCCCGCAGGCCCUGAAAACCAGUGGCGGGCUCGCUAGUCACACCGAGCGCAGUAGCACAUCUCGCUCAGGGCGUGCGGCGGGCUCCAGCCGUUAAAGCACCCACCUUUCGCAAGGUUGACCUCGGAUCAGGUAGGAAUACCCGCUGAACUUAAGCAUAUCAAUAAGCGGAGGA